GCAAAGACUUCAUCUUGUUCAGUCCAAUGCUUAGCACAGAAUCUUAAUAAAAAGAAGGUGCUUGAUAAACAUUUGAUGAAAUAAUAAAUCCAUAAUGAUGACCACACAGAAAUGUUAUCUUCUGAAACAAAUUUUAAAUUGGAGUUUUUAUCAAAGAGCUAAAACCCUGAAAAACAUAGAUGGAUAUAUAUUUUGAAUUCACAAAUGUUUGCUAUUUGGUUAGAAAUAUAAAUGAGUGAAUAACCUAUGUAUAUGCAGAGUCAAGAGGUAUUUACACAAAUUAUAUAAAAAUUGGGAACCUAAACAAGCUUUUAUGAAUGCAAUAAAUUUCUGAAAACUCU